GAUGAACGCUGGCGGCGUGCUUAACACAUGCAAGUCGAACGAAGCACUCUAUUUGAUUUUCUUCGGAAAUGAAGAUUUUGUGACUGAGUGGCGGACGGGUGAGUAACGCGUGGGUAACCUGCCUCAUACAGGGGGAUAACAGUUGGAAACGACUGCUAAUACCGCAUAAGCGCACAGUAUCGCAUGAUACAGUGUGGAAAACUCCGGUGGUAUGAGAUGGACCCGCGUCUGAUUAGCUAGUUGGUGGGGCAACGGCCUACCAAGGCGACGAUCAGUAGCCGACCUGAGAGGGUGACCGGCCACAUUGGGACUGAGACACGGCCCAAACUCCUACGGGAGGCAGCAGUGGGGAAUAUUGCACAAUGGGGGAAACCCUGAUGCAGCGACGCCGCGUGAACGAAGAAGUAUUUCGGUAUGUAAAGUUCUAUCAGCAGGGAAGAUAAUGACGGUACCUGACUAAGAAGCACCGGCUAAAUACGUGCCAGCCGCCGCGGUAA
rnacentral:rRNA from 1 species